AGGCAGUUAGUCUAAGAAAAACAUUUGAUUUCGGCUCAAAAAUUUGUGGUUUAAAUCCGCAACCGCCUA